UGGGGGAUAUUGCACAAUGGGCGAAAGCCUGAUGCAGCGACGCCGCGUGGGGGAUGAAGGCCUUCGGGUUGUAAACUUCUUUUGCUCUGAACAAGGCAUGCUAAUGGGUGUGUUGAGUGUAGGGGUUGAUUAGCGCCGGCUAACUACGUGCCAGCAGCCGCGGUAAUACGUAGGGCGCGAGCGUUGUCCGGAAUUAUUGGGCGUAAAGGGCUUGUAGGUGGCUGGUUGCGUCUGUCGUGAAAGCUCAUGGCUUAACUGUGGGUUUGCGGUGGGUACGGGCUGGCUUGAGUGCAGUAGGGGAGGCUGGAAUUCCUGGUGUAGCGGUGGAAUGCGCAGAUAUCAGGAGGAAUACCGGUGGCGAAGGCGGGCCUCUGGGCUGUUACUGACACUGAGGAGCGAAAGCAUGGGGAGCGAACAGG
rnacentral:rRNA from 1 species